UGGGGAAUAUUGCACAAUGGGCGAAAGCCUGAUGCAGCAACGCCGCGUGAGGGACGACGGCCUUCGGGUUGUAAACCUCUUUUAGCAAGGAAGAAGCGAAAGUGACGGUACUUGCAGAAAAAGCGCCGGCUAACUACGUGCCAGCAGCCGCGGUAAUACGUAGGGCGCAAGCGUUAUCCGGAAUUAUUGGGCGUAAAGAGCUCGUAGGCGGUUUGUCGCGUCUGCUGUGAAAAACCCGAGGCUCAACCUCGGGCCUGCAGUGGGUACGGGCAGACUAGAGUGCGGUAGGGGAGAUUGGAACUCCUGGUGUAGCGGUGGAAUGCGCAGAUAUCAGGAAGAACACCGAUGGCGAAGGCAGAUCUCUGGGCCGUAACUGACGCUGAGGAGCGAAAGGGUGGGGAGCAAAACAGGCUUAGAUACCCUGGUAGUCCACCCCGUAAACGUUGGGAACUAGUUGUGGGGUCCAUUCCACGGAUUCCGUGACGCAGCUAACGCAUUAAGUUCCCCGCCUGGGGAGUACGGCCGCAAGGCU
rnacentral:rRNA from 1 species